AACUGGCUGUAAAAUAUUAUGUUGCAGCCUGUAGUGGAAACGCUACAGUGCCAACGGAGUGAACUGUUCUGUCUUAUCUAUACGAUAAUAGCAGAGACUACGAGAUGAGUUAUCUAGUAGACAGGAAACCUGUUUUUCUUUAAUUAGAGAAUGGUAACCUGCAGCCAAGCCUUAGACUUUAAUUUUUUCCAAGUGAAAAGAAGAGUAAUAAAUUAGAGGUCCUUGUGAAAAUGAGGUUAUACUUUAAACAGAUAUUCUAGAAGUUUAAGGAAGGUUCAGAGACUAUCCCCUCGUGGGAGUAGGAUCCGUCGAAACGGAUUCGAAGCGCUCCGCACCCUUAAUGCUCCCCGAUUUAAUCGGGGUUAGUUGCAUGGGUGAUGAAAUAGUCCAGUCUUUUUCGAAAGGAAGAG
rnacentral:ribozyme from 1 species